rnacentral:rRNA from 1 species
GACGAACGCUGGCGGCGUGCUUAACACAUGCAAGUCGAACGAAGCUUGAUUACGGAUUCUUCGGAUGAAGUAUGAUAUGACUGAGUGGCGGACGGGUGAGUAACGCGUGAGUAACCUGCCCUUCAGAGGGGGAUAGCGUUUGGAAACGAACGGUAAUACCGCAUAAUGUAUUUUGACCGCAUGAUCGAAAUACCAAAGAUUUAUCGCUGAAGGAUGGACUCGCGUCUGAUUAGGUAGUUGGUGGGGUAACGGCCUACCAAGCCGACGAUCAGUAGCCGGACUGUGAGGUUGAUCGGCCACAUUGGGACUGAGACACGGCCCAGACUCCUACGGGAGGCAGCAGUAGGGUAGAUUGCACAAUGGGCGCAAGCCUGAUGCAGCAACGCCGCGUGAAGGAAGACGGUUUUCGGAUUGUAAACUUCUGUUCUUAGGGAAGAAUAAUGACGGUAGCUAAGGAGCAAGCCACGGCUAACUACGUG